UACGAAGGGGGCUAGCGUUGUUCGGAAUUACUGGGCGUAAAGCGCACGUAGGCGGCCUUGUAAGAUGGGGGUGAAAUCCCCGGGCUCAACCCGGGAACUGCCUUCAUGACUGCAAAGCUUGAGGAUGUGAGAGGUUGGCGGAAUUCCGAGUGUAGAGGUGAAAUUCGUAGAUAUUCGGAAGAACACCAGUGGCGAAGGCGGCCAACUGGCACAUUUCUGACGCUGAGGUGCGAAAGCGUGGGGAGCAAACAGG
rnacentral:rRNA from 1 species